rnacentral:rRNA from 1 species
GACAGAGGGUGCAAACGUUGUUCGGAAUUACUGGGCGUAAAGCGAGUGUAGGCGGUUUGGUAAGUCGGAUGUGAAAGCCCCGGGCUCAACCCGGGAAGUGCACUCGAUACUGCCAAGCUAGAGUAUCGGAGAGGUUGGUGGAAUUCUCGGUGUAGAGGUGAAAUUCGUAGAUAUCGAGAGGAACACCGGUGGCGAAGGCGGCCAACUGGGACGAAUACUGACGCUGAGAACUCGAAAGCGUGGGGAGCAAACAGG